rnacentral:rRNA from 1 species
UGCAAGUAUCCGCAACCCUGUGAGAACGCCCUUAAACCCCUCUUGGGAUAAGGAGCUGGUAUCAGGCACAACAUUAAGCCCAAGACACCUAGCUAUGCCACACCCACAAGGGAUAUCAGCAGUGAUCAAUAUUAAAUAUAAGCGACAGCUUGAUUUAGUUAAAGUGCAAAGAGCCGGCAAAUCUGGUGCCAGCCGCCGCGGUUACACCAAGAGGCCCAAAUUGAUUUUAGUCGGCGUAAAGCGUGAUUAAAGUUAACACCUAUUAGAGUUAAACUAAAAUUAAGCCGUAGCACGCUUGUUUUUAGGAAACCCAAAAACGAAAGUUACCCUAAUUUAAACAACUUGAAUUCACGACAACUGGGAAACAAACUGGGAUUAGAUACCCCACUAUGCCUAGUCGUAAACUUUAACUUACAUUACUAUCGCCAGGGAACUACGAGCAAAGCUUAAAACCCAAAGGACUUGACGGUACCCCAUAUCCACCUAGAGGAGCCUGUCCUAUAAUCGAUACCCCCCGCUUUACCUUACCAUUUUUAGCCUAUCAGCCUGUAUACCUCCGUCGUCAGCUUACCACGUGAGCGAAAUUAAGUGAGCUCAAUGUUCUUACAUCAAUACGUCAGGUCAAGGUGCAGCAAAUGAAAUGGAAAGAGAUGGGCUACACUUUCUAUAUUAGAAUAUACGAAAGACUAUUUAUGAAAUCUAGUCAGAAGGCGGAUUUAGAAGUAAAAAGAAACUAUAGUGUUCUUUUAACCCGGCACUGGG